GGGCCCGUAGCCCAGCCUGGAUUAGGGCGUCGGUCUUCGGAUUAUAAUGGAGAAAACCGGAAGUCGUGGGUUCGAAUCCCUCCGGGCCCG
rnacentral:tRNA from 1 species